UCCCACUUUUUUCACCCAAUGAGGACUGAGUAAGCUGAUGACCAGAACCAUUUUUUCCCAAAAAUCCCCCAGACCAACUCUUUUUGGAAAACUUUGCACUACUUCUAUGCUUUUGAAGGAAAAGAAUAAAAUACAAAUACAAAACUCAGAGCACGCCAAUGAAGAAACAAGCUAACAACUUUUUUAUUUUUAGUAUUGCCUCUUAGAAAAACCACUUAAGUCAAGAUAUAAGGAUGGUUCAUAAGUCAACAUGCCACAGACGAAAAAAAAAUAAUAAUACAAUUAAAAAAACCAAUUGACUCCAUUAAAGAAGGAACAAACCAACUGCAAAAUUCCCAAUAAAAAUAGGUUGCAAAACCCCUUGUCAUUUAACAAAGCGAUGAAGUCACGUGCUUGUUGGGUGCGGGAUCGCUGAAAACACAUAUGCAGCUCGCUCCAGAAGGAAAGCAAAAACUCAAUUAAACAUUUACUUGUCAGAGGAACUAAUUCUAGGGCCAGCUUGUCUAGUCAGUGAUAAGUGAACUAAG
rnacentral:misc_RNA from 1 species